CAUGCCUCACAUUGUAGCAAAAAACAUCCCAUACCAGUCCAAUCUUAGACCAUCCCUGGAAAAAACUGUAGAUAUAUGAAUUUGUUAUUUAACCACAUUUUUAAAGUAGCAAAUACAAAGUCAAAUAUUAAUUUGUCCUAAAAUAUUUUAUUUCAUGAUUAUGAUGUUACCCGUUGUACUCGCCUGAUCAAAAUAAAUACAAAAGUAUAAAAUCUGAUUCGUAUCUUCACAGUUUGAAAUGUAUCAGUGCACAAUCACAGCUAAAAUAUCAAAUCCAGUUUACAGUCGCCUUCUCAUAUGAACAUCCGUCACAUUCCCCUGGUGCUGAGCGGCUGACUUUUUUUUACAGCAGGGAAUGCACCAUAUUCAGCCGUACAAAACCCAGGAAGACAAUACACGCAGCAGAUAGAGGCACAAGUCGGGAAACAUAAGGACUCCGCUGCGGUGGUCACCGCUUAGACCCCUUUCAGUACAUAAUUACAGUGCAUCCUGUAUGCAGAGGGCACUGAAAGUAAUUAACCACCCGGAAAAUGCAUGUGGAUAUUGAAAGGCAUUCUAAUUGGAAUUUCACAGAGGAAAAAUACAUGCAUACACAUGGAGCAGUGUUUGUUGCAGUGACUGGCACACAACAGCCAAGUAACGUAUUUAGUGGUCCUGCAUUUAGAGAAAUGGCCAUCCUUGCAACAGAAGGAAUGUCCAAGUCUGCCAGACGUGAGCCAUUCCUACAGAGCUUUAGCUUGUAGAGAGACGCCCAAGCAGGCGAUUCCUAUGAUAUCCAUAUGCCCUUUGAGCAUAUGGAAAGGGGUUGUCUUAGUUGUUUACCAGUUACUUAAAUGGAUUUUCUCCUCAUAAUCAACCCCUUUUCCGCAAGUCUGGCUCAGACAGUGGAUUCUGAUGGGAGAGCCCGCAGCAUUGCAAGGAAAAUGCAGUAUGACACACUGGCCAUUCAGAUGAAUGGUUAUCUAAGUAAAACAUGGCCUCUUCAAGGCCACGACAUCGAUAUAUCAAACUCUAAAAAAAAAAAAAGCAUAUGGACUAGGGUUGUCAAGACAUACCUUUAAAAGCAGGCGUAUUAGGUUUCAUCUUUUUCAUUAAAUAUCUAGAGUUUUUUUUUUUUUUUUGUUUACUGCAAAUGUGUAUGGUUGCUGCCAUUUUCAAUAUUUUAUCACUAGGCAGGCUGUACAGCAACAGAAUGUCCUGCCCAGGAUUCCUAGUCGGUACAGAAAUGGAAAUAAUGCAAUAUAUCUAAUAUCACCUUAAAGCCCAAUACUGGUCAAAAUGUGCACUGUGUGAAUGAGGCCAAAAUGCCGGAUGUUUCCCCGUUAGAUUUUGUUUUUCCCCCCAUAGUGAAAAUUUAAAAAAAAAAAAAAAAAAAAUAUAUGUUUGUAAAAUAUAUAUGACAAGUUCAUACAGUCAAAGUGGAAUUGAAUCAUCCAUUAAAGACCCAACUUUCCUUAGUGGUAUCAGCUCACUGUACAUUGUACCAUUUACUGCAAUAUAACCUGCUCCACCUGUUUGUUCAAAGCAGCUGGUUGGAAACUACGGAUUUGUGUACAAAGUAAUAGAAUGAUCAGGUCCAGAAACAAAAAAGAUUUGACAAAGUUAUAUGAAAGUGGUCGCUGCAGAAGGAGUAUCGGGGGAGUAAGAGAAGUCCAGAGCAGGGCACGUAGAUGAAUCAAGGACAAACUCAAGUCCAAGAGGGAAACACAAUAACAGGUAAGGCACAUGUGGAACCGGAAAGAACAUGGAUUUCUUCCCAUAAAAA